ensembl:lncRNA
GUUUACUAACUCUGACCCUAGAGAACUGACCUAGGAUCAGUCAACCUGACAGGACUGUAGUGUUUACUAUCUCUGACCCUAGAGAACUGACCUAGGAUCAGUCAACCUGACAGGACUGUAGUGCUUACUAUCUCUGACCCUAGAGAACUGACCUAGGAUCAGUCAACCUGACAGGACUGUAGUGCUUACUAUCUCUGACCCUAGAGAACUGAGAAUGUUAUCUUUUUUUUUUUUAAAGACUGUUUUAAACAACCAGGAAACCAGCAGUUAUUUCUGGUUGUUUAUCAGAGUUAUCUGGCUUAGCUCAUUGAUCCUGCUUUUUUAUUGUAACCCUCAGGAGGUGUGGACUGGAGAAGUGUUGUGUUAAGAGAUGUGUGGUUUGAAAGACAUUUGACAGAUUGUGGUCCGGUCCUCCUCCUUCCUCCUACCUGUCUUGUCUCUCGUCGUUCAUCUUGGCCACUGUGACGGGUGUGAACAAACACAGCACCAGCCUUCACAUCCUCUUCAUCAUCAUCAUUAAGACAUCCCCCCAGCACCAGCCUUCAUCAUCCUCUUCAUCAUCAUCAUUAAGACAUCCCCCAGCACCAGCCUUCACAUCCUCUUCAUCAUCAUCAUUAAGACAUCCCCCAGCACCAGCCUUCACAUCCCCCAGCACCAGCCUCAUCAUCAUCAUCAUCAUCAUCAUGAAGACAUCCCCCCAGCACCAGCCUUCACAUCCUCUUCAUCAUCAUCAUUAAGACAUCCCCCCAGCCUUCACAUCCUCUUCAUCAUCAUCAUCAUCAUUAAGACAUCCCCCAGCACCAGCCUUCACAUCCUCUUCAUCAUAACCAUUCAGACAUCCCCCCAGCACCAGUCUUCACAUCCUCUUCAUCAUCAUCAUUAAGACAUCCCCCCACCCAGACUUCACAUCCUCUUCAUCAUCAUCAUUAAGACACCCCCAGCACCAGCCUUCACAUCCUCUUCAUCAUCAUCAUCAUCAUCAAGACAUCCCCCCAGCACCAGCCUUCACAUCCUCUUCAUCAUCAUCAUUAAGACAUCCCCCACCCAGCACCAGCCUUCACAUCCUCUUCAUCAUCAUCAUUAUGACAUCCCCCAGCACCAGCUUUCACAUCCUCUUCAUCAUCAUCAUUAAGACACCCCCCCAGCACCAGCCUUCACAUCAUCAUCAUCAUUAAGACAUCCCCCCCAGCACCAGCCUUCACAUCCUCUUCAUCAUCAUGACGUGAUAUAAGGAGCUAUGACGUGUUAUAAGGAGAAGCUAUGAUGUGUUAUAAGGAGAAGCUAUGAUGUGUUAUAAGGACAAGCUAUGAUGUGUUAUAAGGAGGAGCUAUGAUGUGUUAUAAGGAGAAGCUAUGAUGUGUUAUAAGGAGAAGCUAUGAUGUGUUAUAAGGAGAAGCUAUGACGUGUUAUAAGCUAUGACGUGUUAUAAGGAGAAGCUAUGAUGUGUUAUUAGGAGCUAUGACGUGUUAUAAGGAGAAGCUAUGAUGUGUUAUUAGGAGGAGCUAUGAUGUGUUAUAAGGAGAAGCUAUGAUGUGUUAUAAGGAGAAGCUAUGAUGUGUUAUAAGGAGAAGCUAUGAUGUGUUAUAAUGAGAAGCUAUGACGUGUUAUAAGGAGAAGCUAUGAUGUGUUAUUAGGAGCUAUGGCGUGUUAUAAGGAGCUAUGAUGUGUUAUAAUGAGAAGCUAUGACGUGUUAUAAGGAGAAGCUAUGAUGUGUUAUAAGGAGCUAUGAUGUGUUAUAAUGAGAAGCUAUGACGUGUUAUAAGGAGCUAUGAUGUGUUAUAAGGAGCUAUGACGUGUUAUAAGAAGCUAUGACGUGUUAAGCUAUGAUAGGUUAUAACACAUGACGUGUUUUAAGAAGCUACGAUGUGUUAUAAGGAGCUAUGAUGUGUUAUAACCUGUGUUAUAAGAAGCUAUGAUGUGUUAUAAGGAGCUAUGAUGUGUUAUAAGAAGCUAUGAUGUGUUAUAAGAAGCUAUGAUGUGUUAUAACGUGUUAUAAGAAGCUGUGGUGUGUUAUAACGUGUUAUAAGGAGCUAUGACGUGUUAUAAGGAGCUAUGAUGUGUUAUAAGAAGCUAUGACGUGUUAUAACGUGUUAUAAGAAGCUAUGACGUGUUAUAAGGAGCUAUGACGUGUUAUAAGAAGCUAUGACGUGUUAUAAGGAGCUAUGACGUGUUAAGCUAUGAUAGGUUAUAACACAUGACGUGUUUUAAGAAGCUACGAUGUGUUAUAAGGAGCUAUGAUGUGUUAUAAGAAGCUAUGAUGUGUUAUAAGAAGCUAUGAUGUGUUAUAACGUGUUAUAAGAAGCUAUGAUGCGUUAUAACGUGUUAUAAGGAGCUAUGACGUGUUAUAAGGAGCUAUGACGUGUUAUAAGGAGCUAUGAUGUGUUAUAAGAAGCUAUGAUGUGUUAUAACGUGUUAUAAGAAGCUAUGAGGUGUUAUAACGUGUUUUAAGGAGCUACGACGUGUUAUAAGAAGCUAUGAUGUGUUAUAACGUGUUUUAAGGAGCUAUGAUGUGUUAUAACGUGUUUUAAGGAGCUAUGAUGUGUUAUAACAUGUUAUAAGAAGCUAUGAUGUGUUAUAAGGAGCUAUGAUGUGUUAUAACAUGUUAUAAGGAGCUAUGAUGUGUUAUAACGUGUUAUAAGGAGCUAUGACGUGUUAUAAGGAGCUAUGAUGUGUUAUAACGUGUUAUAAGGAGCUAUGACGUGUUAUAACGUGUUAUAAGGAGCUAUGACGUGUUAUAACGUGUUAUAAGGAACUAUGACGUGUUAUAACGUGUUAUAAGGAGCUAUGACGUGUUAUAACGUGUUAUAAGGAGCUAUGACGUGUUAUAACGUGUUAUAAGGAGCUAUGACGUGUUAUAACGUGUUAUAAGGAGCUAUGACGUGUUUUAAGGAGCUACGACGUGUUAUAAGAAGCUAUAAGCGUUCAUACACUGGUUCAUAUUCCAAUGCAUAUUUAAUAAACCAUCGAUGAGUGGAUGAA